UAAGGUAAAGCCGCCAAGGUUAGAUAAGAAUUUUUAUUUUGUUAUUUCCAUAUUUCCUACAUUCUUACUUCUUCGUAUUUUUUCCUCACAUUUUUAAUUACUUACAAAUUGAAAAAACUGUUCACUUUUCGUUUGUAUAUGGACCAUAAAGCGGAUCCAAAUCGGCAUUCUUUUUUGCAUACUGAAGAAUGUAAUUUACUUUGGAAGCGAUUCGCUGCUUGUAAAAAUGAGCAUUAUAUUAUGAGGUAUUUUGAUUAUUGUUCCAAGGAGUACGAUGACGUUUUGAGGUGUUUCAAAAGAGAGAGACGGCAGAAAGCUGAAAAUAAUCAUAAAUUGGCGAUGAAUAGUAUAAAAAAACACUUGGACAGCUUAGUUGAGAAUAAGCCAGAAACGAAUUAGACCUUUCACUUCUCUUCUUGUUAGGCUUACCUGUAAAAAUGGACAAAAUCGGUAGUAUCAUAAAUGGUAA